rnacentral:misc_RNA from 1 species
CUUCAAGUGCUCUCUAUUGUCAAGAAAUGGUUAAAUUUGGAGGUGUAGUUAUUUGUCUCUUGAUUGUUGCAAUUGAUGUGGGUGCUGGGAUUCUUGGCAUCUCCAAGCAGAAAUUGCACAAAACAAGGUUAAGCACUUGAGGCUGUGGAUAUUUGAGUGUAGAGACCCAAGCCAAGAUGCUUUCAAACUAGGGUUGGCUGCAGCAGCA